AUGCAGCACUUUAAACAUCACUCUGAGCUUUAUGGGAAAGCUUUUAUUGUGCUAGACAGCCGUGGGGGGGAUUUGGAAGGGUUCUUCCGUCACAAAUCUUCCCCAUACCCACCUGCAUUGUCAUCUGAAGGAGCACUCAACUCUUGUACCAAGUCAGAUUUGUUGGUAUACAUCAUGGAAGCCAGUACGAGUAGCAACAUUUCUAUAGAUGACAAGUUAGUUGUGCCAGGUGUUUAUGACUUCAUUGUCAUUGAUGGUGGAGUGCUAAUACAUUCUCUUCCUGGCACAAGUGUCCAAGGGAAGACCUUCGACUCAUAUUUUGGCAAGGUAUUCUGCCCAAGAGUUCACCAUGACUUAAAACGAUCAACAAGAGUAGACAUCAUCUGGGACCAGUAUCAUGAACUAACAAUCAAAGGAGGCACAAGGGAAAAGCGAGGAACGGGCACCCGACAAUGUGUAUCUGGUAUGGCCAAAAUCCCAGGAGAUUGGCAGAAGUUUCUGGCAAGCAUUGGCAACAAGAAAGAGCUGUUCUCAUUCCUUUCAAAUAAGUUGUUAACAGAUGGACAGUUCCCAGAUGACAAGGAUGUCUAUGUCACUGCAGCUGAUCAAGUCCACCAUGUUGGAAACGGUCAACCAAUGGAUCAAUGCAACCAUGAGGAAGCUGAUACUCCUGUCUUAGUACAUCUCCUCCACGCCCUCCAAACAUCAUCACUUGGGUUGGUGCAUACUGGAGACACAGAUGUGGUUGUAAUCCUUCUGAGUAAUUUUCAUCACAUCAAGACUGUGAAUGCAGCUGCCGAAAUCUGGAUCACCUUUAAAGCUGGAAAGAUAACCAGAAUGAUAUCCCUGAACACAAUCGCCACAAACGUAGGCAUGACAACAUGCAAAGCCAUGGCUCUCUUCCACACAUUCACUGGAUCAGACAGCACAUCUUCCUUUAAGUUCAAGGGCAAGCGAUCCUGCUGCAAGUUGAUGCACAAAGUGCCAUUCCCCAUGGAAGAAUUUGCAGCGAUUGUCGACACUCCAUUCCAAACAUUACCAAGGAUGAAAAAAGUGGCGGCAAAAUUGGUCUGUCGGCUGUAUUCCAAUGAGGAGAAUGAGGAGAAUGAUGUUGAUCUUCUCUGA
rnacentral:lncRNA from 1 species